CUGGGCUAGUACAAGCAGCCGUACAUACCCAUACACACGCAUGCACGUCUUCAUAUGAGUGAAAUAUUCUCAAGCACGACGUGAAACUCAAUUCACCUCACCUCACCUCACCUCACUUACGAUUAACGACAGACACAGACGCCCCCGCUGCAAUGUCCACCAGAGUGUCCAAGAGUGAGGCAAUGAGCAGCACAGGCAGAAUCACCUAAGGAGUUGCCCAUGAUCUGGAGGGACAGCAGGUCGCAGGUGACGCGCUUCUGGAUGGAAGCAGCUGCAAUACACGUCGGCAAUAGCUGCACAAUGGUUAGUUUAUACUGAAUCAUCAUUGAGAGAAAAACAUAACCUGAAUCAACUUACCAUCGGACAUGCCUGAAACAAAAAGGAUAAAUACAUUAAGUGAAGAGUGAUUUCAGCAAAAAUGAUCUUUUCUACUACAAAUCAAAGUGACCCCUUCCACGAAACAUGUUUUUGCAUCAUGGGAAUUUCGCUUGGAAUGGAAUGGAUGGUAGAUGUCCAUUGUUUGAAUGUAAAACAUCGAGACAUUGCUUGAGUUUAACGUCGCUUUGAGCAGCAUCACAUCAUAUCCAACACAAGAAGAUUGCCUCUCAAUUUCGCAACCAUUACGUAAGUAGUCCAGGGUUCUAACAUUAUGGUGUUGAAGCGAUUCACAGGUCCACGUCUUAUUUAAGAUGUGUAUAGACUGGGAGUGGACACGUUUUUAGGACUAAUAAAAAUGAUUUUGCAAAAUUAAUUCCUAUUAGGCUACUGAAUUAAUACAAGUCUAACACAUCUCACCCACUCUCUACUUACCAACAAAGGCGAUGACCAGACAAAGAAGAAGGAAUUUCAUUUCGAUGUGAGCAAGGAUCUCAGUACAAUCCUUUGUCAGAUUUUCCUUUUAUAUCUUUGAUGGCAGGGAUAGGCUGAGACAUGACAGGUGGACGGGCAGACACUUCUCUGACAAAGACUGUCAUGUUCAAGAUCCAAGGUCCAGUACGUUAUCUCUUAAAUAAAAGAGGGUAGCUUU